AACCUCCGCAAUGUGAGAAAUCGCGACGGGGGGAUCCCAAGUGCCAUUCUUAACGGGAUGGCUUUUCAUUAGUGUAAAAAGCUUUUGGAAUAAGAGCUGGGCAAGACCGGUGCCAGCCGCCGCGGUAACACCGGCAGCUCUAGUGGUAGCAGUUUUUAUUGGGCCUAAAGCGUCCGUAGCCGGUUUAAUAAGUCUCUGGUGAAAUCCUGUAGCUUAACUGUGGGAAUUGCUGGAGAUACUAUUAGACUUGAGACCGGGAGAGGUUAGAGGUACUCCCAGGGUAGAGGUGAAAUUCUGUAAUCCUGGGAGGACCGCCUGUUGCGAAGGCGUCUAACUGGAACGGUUCUGACGGUGAGGGACGAAAGUUAGGGGCGCGAACCGGAUUAGAUACCCGGGUAGUCCUAACUGUAAACGAUGCGGACUUGGUGUUGGGGUGGCUUUGAGCUGUCUCAGUGCCGAAGGGAAGCUGUUAAGUCCGCCGCCUGGGAAGUACGGUCGCAAGACUGAAACUUAAAGGAAUU
rnacentral:rRNA from 1 species